UAACUUUCAUUUUUGAUUGAUUUCUUUUUGGAGGAACAAUAUACUAUUUAAAGAGUUAAAUAACUCCUAAAAUCAUGAUGACCAUAUAAGUGUCAUUAUCUAACAAUAUAAGAACAUUCUAGAAAUAGUAAAUACAAAUUACUUAAUUAAAUCUAUACAAAUAACUAUAAUAUUCUAUCAUAUCCUCUUUCUAAUAAAUCCCAUAAUAAGCAUCCUAUCAUUAUAGACCCUUUAAAAUCAACCUUAUCCUCAAGGUUGGAUGAGUGAGUUGUGGGCUGUAGACUUCAGUUCGUCUUGAACCAGAUCUGGGUCUUUAACAUGGGUGGAUUGGAGCUGUCCAAAAAAUCCACCGGGUAGAGUAAGAUAACUAUCCCUUUUGGUGGGUUCAACAACUGUGACAUCAUGUCCACCAUCAACAUCGUGGGACUUGAAGGGCUGGUGUCAGCUGUUUCCAUCAGAACUGCGUAGACCAAUUUUCAAAAUUAAUGACCAUAUUUGUCUAUGUGUAGGGAUGUUGGAGACAUGUUCAUCCUCUAAAUCUUCUUGUAAUUUAUGAAGUAACGCUCUUAUCUCAGUAAAUAAAUAUGCAAUUAGAGGAUAAACAAAGUGGGGUGUUGAGAUCUAAGAAGGUGGUGGUGAAAAGAGUGUUGGGUGAGGAAUUUCCCAUGUAUAUUCAUUAGUCAUAUUGUUAUAGAAAUACUUCAUGCCAUGGAAAUUAAGAUAUUCCUUCCAAGAUUGAGAGUAUGAGUCAUAGAUGUGAGAUCGUGAAUGAUUAGGUUUUGGCUGUGAGAUUUGUUGAUGAAAAUAGAAUAUGUGAAAUAAGAUGGCUGAGAGGUGAAAUAACUUGGUUGUGGUGAUGGUUUUGGAGGUGAUUGUAAUGUUGGUCAGUGUUGAAAGAAAGGGAAAUAAGGUUGAGAUUGUGGUGUUUGCCAUUCUGGAAAUGAAUGUAAAAGUUCAUGAGAUUGUGAGGUAUUGUAAGAGGGAUGGUGAUAAUAAGUGGGUGAAGGUGGGUGAUUAUAAUUAUAGGAUGGGGAAUACAUGGUUAUCAUGGACGAAUGAGUACAAGAAUGAAUGCACCAAUUGUCUAUGCUUUCGUUUUAUGUGCUUGUCCAUUAAAAUGGAUGCAUUUCAAAUCAUCUCGUGACCUCUUAUAAAGUUAGUUUAGUUGGUUAAAAUAAUAGAUAAGAGGUAUGAGUCUCUAGAUAAGCUCCACUAGG
rnacentral:lncRNA from 1 species